rnacentral:rRNA from 1 species
UAGGGAAUCUUCCGCAAUGGGCGAAAGCCUGACGGAGCAACGCCGCGUGAGUGAUGAAGGUCUUCGGAUCGUAAAACUCUGUUAUUAGGGAAGAACAAAUGUGUAAGUAACUAUGCACGUCUUGACGGUACCUAAUCAGAAAGCCACGGCUAACUACGUGCCAGCAGCCGCGGUAAUACGUAGGUGGCAAGCGUUAUCCGGAAUUAUUGGGCGUAAAGCGCGCGUAGGCGGUUUUUUAAGUCUGAUGUGAAAGCCCACGGCUCAACCGUGGAGGGUCAUUGGAAGCUGGAAAACUUGAGGGCAGAAGAGGAAGGUGGAAUUCCAUGGGGAGCGGUGAAAGGCGCAGAGAUAUGGAGGAACACCAGUGGCGAAGGCGAAUUUCUGGGCUGUGACGGACGCUGAUGUGCGAAAGCGUGGGGAUCAAACAGG